rnacentral:lncRNA from 10 species
UUUUAUGCAUUUCUAUGUCCUAUUUUAUUAGAAUUAAUAAUAAUAUAAUGUAUUGUCAAUUUUCUCCCUAAAUUGAAUAUAUUUCUCUACAGUUUUCUCAAGAGGGAUUUGCAGAGACAGGAUGCUAUGAAAUUACCUCUCCCAUGCCCUCCACAGUACUAAGACUGAGGUACCUGUCUACAUCAAAAGAUGAGUACUACAAUGCAGAUGACUUAGCCAGGGACUGAUAUUCUUAGAAGAAAAAAGAUUAAGACACAGACAGA